rnacentral:rRNA from 1 species
UAGUCCAAGCGGUAAACGAUGGGUACUAGGUGUCGGGGGUAUCGACCCCUUCGGUGCCGCAGCUAACGCAUUAAGUACCCCGCCUGGGGAGUACGAUCGCAAGAUUGAAACUCAAAGGAAUUGACGGGGGCCCGCACAAGCGGUGGAGUAUGUGGUUUAAUUCGAGGCAACGCGAAGAACCUUACCUGGGUUUGACAUGCUUGAGACAGCCGGUGAAAGCCGGUUUCCCUUCGGGGCUCUUGCACAGGUGCUGCAUGGCUGUCGUCAGCUCGUGCCGUGAGGUGUUGGGUUAAGUCCCGCAACGAGCGCAACCCUUGUCCAUAGUUGCUAUCAGGUAAUGCUGGGAACUCUAUGGAGACUGUCGGUGAUAAGCUGGAGGAAGGUGGGGAUGACGUCAAGUUCUCAUGGCCCUUAUAUCCAGGGCUACACACGUACUACAAUGGUCGGUACAGAAGGUCGCAAUACCGUGAGUGGAGCCAAUCCUUAAAACCGGCCCCAGUUCGAAUUGGAGU